CCGCAGGUUCGGGUCUCACGUAGUGAGACAACGGAGCCGCUUGCGGCGACGGCCCGAAGGGCGAGCGAAGCGAGUCAUCCUGCACGACCCACCA
rnacentral:sRNA from 1 species